rnacentral:rRNA from 1 species
UACGUAGGGGGCGAGCGUUGUCCGGAGUUACUGGGCGUAAAGCGCUUGUAGGCGGUCCACCAAGUUUGGGGUGACAGUUGCCGACUUAAUCGGCAAAGUGCCUCAAAGACUGGCGGACUUGAGGGCCACAGAGGGACAUGGAACUCCAGGUGUAGUGGUGAAAUACGUAGAGAUUGGGAAGAACACCAGUGGCGAAGGCGGCUAUCUGGACGGUUACUGACGCUAAGACUCGAAAGCGUGGGGAGCAAACAGG